rnacentral:misc_RNA from 1 species
AACGCACAUUGCGCCCGCUGGAAUUCCGGCGGGCAUGCCUGUUCGAGCGUCAUUUCAACCCUCAAGCCUCGCUUGGUGUUGGGGCACUACCCGUCAAACGGUAGGCCCUGAAAUCUAGUGGCGGGCUCGCUAAGACUCUGAGCGUAGUAGUUUACCACCUCGCUUUGGAAGGAUUAGCGGUGCUCUUGCCGUAAAACCCCCCAACUUCUGAAAAUUUGACCUCGGAUCAGGUAGGAAUACCCGCUGAACUUAA